AACGAACGCUGGCGGCAUGCCUAACACAUGCAAGUCGAACGAGACCUUCGGGUCUAGUGGCGCACGGGUGAGUAACGCGUGGAUAACCUGCCCUGGUAUCUGGGAUAACAUCUCGAAAGGGGUGCUAAUACCGGAUAAGCCCUCGGGUCCCUCGGGAUCUGCGGGAAAAGGUGGCCUCUGUCUCAAGCUACCGUAUCAGGAUGGGUCCGCGUACCAUUAGCUAGUUGGUAGGGUAAUGGCCUACCAAGGCGACGAUGGUUAGCUGGUCUGAGAGGAUGAUCAGCCACACUGGAACUGAGACACGGUCCAGACUCCUGCGGGAGGAAGCAGUGGGGAAUUUUGCGCAAUGGGGGAAACCCUGACGCAGCAACGCCGCGUGAGUGAUGAAGGCCUUCGGGUCGUAAAGCUCUGUCGGAGGGGAAGAAAUGACGAGGUGCUAAUACCAUCUCUUCUUGACGGUACCCUCAAAGGAAGCACCGGCUAACUCCGUGCCAGCCGCCGCGGUAA
rnacentral:rRNA from 1 species